UAGGAAGCAGUGUAAGGGAAGCACGUAGGGCUUUGAACCCUCCAGUAAGGGUUCGAUUCCCUUUUUUCUAA
rnacentral:tRNA from 1 species